rnacentral:sRNA from 1 species
UGCUAGUGGCGUAAUACGGUAUAUAUGGGGUCAGUAAAUUCGCUCUCACCCCAUAUGAAAUUUACUGACACCAUAUAUACCGUAUUAGGUCACUAUACUCAA